UACAGAGGGGGCAAGCGUUAUUCGGAAUUAUUGGGCGUAAAGGGCGCGUAGGCGGCCAUUCAAGUGACGGGUGAAAGCCCUCGGCUUAACCGAGGAACUGCCUGUCAGACUGGAUGGCUUGAGACCGGGAGAGGUGAGUGGAAUUCCCAGUGUAGCGGUGAAAUGCGUAGAUAUUGGGAGGAACACCAGUGGCGAAGGCGGCUCACUGGACCGGAACUGACGCUGAGGCGCGAAAGCGUGGGUAGCAAACAGG
rnacentral:rRNA from 1 species